rnacentral:rRNA from 1 species
GACGAACGCUGGCGGCGUGCUUAACACAUGCAAGUCGAACGGAAAGGCCCUGCUUUUGUGGGGUGCUCGAGUGGCGAACGGGUGAGUAACACGUGAGUAACCUGCCCUUGACUUUGGGAUAACUUCAGGAAACUGGGGCUAAUACCGGAUAGGAGCUCCUGCUGCAUGGUGGGGGUUGGAAAGUUUCGGCGGUUGGGGAUGGACUCGCGGCUUAUCAGCUUGUUGGUGGGGUAGUUGCUUACCAAGGCUUUGACGGGUAGCCGGCAUGAGAGGGUGACCGGCCACAUUGGGACUGAGAGACGGCCCAGAAUCCUACGGGAGGCAGCAGUGGGGAAUAUUGCACAAUGGGCGGAAGCCUGAUGCAGCAACGCCGCGUGCGGGAUGACGGCCUUCGGGUUGUAAACCGCUUUCGCCUGUGACGAAGCGUGAGUGACGGUAAUGGGUAAAGAAGCACCGGCUAACUACGUG